rnacentral:rRNA from 1 species
ACUGCUCAGUAACACGUGGAUAACCUGCCCUUGGGACCGGCAUAACCCCGGGAAACUGGGGAUAAUUCCGGAUAACGCAUAUAUGCUGGAAUGCUUUAUGCGUAAAAUGGAUUCGUCUGCCCAAGGAUGGGUCUGCGGCCUAUCAGGUAGUAGUGGGUGUAAUGGACCUACUAGCCUACAACGGGUACGGGUUGUGAGAGCAAGAGCCCGGAGAUGGAUUCUGAGACAUGAAUCCAGGCCCUACGGGGCGCAGCAGGCGCGAAAACUUUACAAUGCGGGAAACCGUGAUAAGGGGACACCGAGUGCCAGCAUCAUAUGCUGGCUGUCCAGGUGUGUAAAAUACACCUGUUAGCAAGGGCCGGGCAAGACCGGUGCCAGCCGCCGCGGUAACACCGGCGGCCCGAGUGGUGAUCGUGAUUAUUGGGUCUAAAGGGUCCGUAGCCGGUUUGGUCAGUCCUCCGGGAAAUCUGAUAGCUCAACUAUUAGGCUUUCGGGGGAUACUGCCAGACUUGGAACCGGGAGAGGUAAGAGGUACUACAGGGGUAGGAGUGAAAUCUUGUAAUCCCUGUGGGACCACCUGUGGCGAAGGCGUCUUACCAGAACGGGUUCGACGGUGAGGGACGAAAGCUGGGGGCACGAACCGGAUUAGAUACCCGGGUAGUCCCAGCCGUAAACGAUGCUCGCUAGGUGUCAGGCAUGGCGCGACCGUGUCUGGUGCCGCAGGGAAGCCGUGAAGCGAGCCACCUGGGAAGUACGGCCGCAAGGCUGAAACUUAAAGGAAUUGGCGGGGGAGCAC